CAACUCCUUAACUAUUCAGGACUCCAACAGAUAAGGACAUCCAGCUAGUUGAGUCCCACUAGGAGAAUGUCGCUUACUACUAUAAAUACAGAACCUUGAACCAUUAUUCAGGUACGUUUUUCAUUAUUCUCCAGCAUAUAGCCUCACGCAUAUAAUUCCCUUUCUGACUUAAGCAUCGAAGGGGCGACGAGAACACACCUCGUUGCCUUUGUUUCAGGUACC
rnacentral:lncRNA from 1 species